rnacentral:rRNA from 1 species
AGGACGAACGCUGGCGGCGUGCUUAACACAUGCAAGUGGAGUGACGAACCAGGGCUUGCCCUGGGGCAGAGCCGCGAACGGGUGAGUAACACGUGGGUUACCUGCCUUGAUGACCGGGACAACCCGAGGAAACUCGGGCUAAUACCGGAUGUGCCCGCAAGGGGAAAGGAAGCUUCGGCCUCCGCAUCAAGAUGGGCCCGCGGCCCAUUAACUUGUUGGUGAGGUAACGGCUCACCAAGGCUUCGAUGGGUAGCUGGUCUGAGAGCACGACCAGUCACACGGGCACUGAGACACGGGCCCGACUCCUACGGGAGGCAGCAGUAAGGAAUAUUGGUCAAUGGACGCAAGUCUGAACCAGCCAUGCCGCGUGAAGGAUGAAGGCCCUCUGGGUUGUAAACUUCUUUAUCUGGGACGAAAAAAGGGUUUUCUAACUCACUUGACGGUACCAGAGGAAUAAGCACCGGCUAACUCCGUGCCAGCAGCCGCGGUAA